CAUAAGAUUCCCAUAUUGUCCUUAUGCCAUCUCUAGUAUACUAGGUAACAUCCUUCAAAUAUUCCCAGGAUACAUUCUGCAAUGCUGGAAAUAAUAAUCUGCUUUGGUUUUGAAAACCAAUGCCCAAUGUUCAUGAGACAACAUUCGUAUAGUAUCGAAUGAAAUGAAAAAGAAAAGUACUGGUAUUUUAUGGGUUUACAGUGGUUUUGACUACUUGAAAUAUUUAAUUUUUGAAACAGUUUACAUUUUUGUGAACAACAGAAUGUAUAACCAAGCUUCUGCAUUUUGACUGAGAUUGUACCAACAGACAAAACAGACAUAUUUGUUGAAAUGAGUGAAAAUAUCGAUUGGAACCAUAACAUCUCUUCAGGGUAGGACGCAAUAAGGAAACCCAUAGAAAGAUGUAUUCCAUCAGUUGACAAGCAAUGAAUAAACCUUUUGGAACAUUGGUGAUAGUAAGAAUGAUGGAAACAGAAGAAUGUCAUUGAUAGAGAAAUGAAACUGAAGCAGAGAAGAUCAUUUUGAAGAGACUGCUAUGAGGAACAAAAAUGAAAAUACAUUUCAGAUUACUGAAUCAUCUGUAAUCUCAUUCGAAUAAUAUUUUUGUUAACGAAGUGAAUAACGAAGUUGAAUAAAUUCAUGUGUACAUAUAUA